rnacentral:rRNA from 1 species
UACGGAGGGUGCGAGCGUUGUCCGGAAUCACUGGGCGUAAAGGGCGCGUAGGCGGCUUGGCAAGUGGAUGGUGAAAUCCCUCGGCUUAACCGAGGAACUGCCGUCCAAACUGCUUCGCUUGAGACCGGGAGAGGUGAGUGGAAUUCCCAGUGUAGCGGUGAAAUGCGUAGAUAUUGGGAGGAACACCAGUGGCGAAGGCGGCUCACUGGACCGGUACUGACGCUGAUGCGCGAAAGCGUGGGGAGCAACGGG